CAAAGUACGAGAAUGGUGCACUUCGGAAAGUCCGAAGGUGUUAAAGUGAUCGAAAGUGAGUUACGGGAGGUUUUCGAGAGCUAGAGAAUCAAAUUCUGCAAAACUGCAGUUUUUGAGCUCUCGGGGACCGGUCCCUGGUGGGAGAGACCGGUCCCCGAACGCGUGCAGAAUGAGACAGCCGAAAAAUCGGCUAAGUCCUAGAAGGACAGCUCUCGGGAACCGGUCUAUGUCUGAGAGACCGGUCCCCCAGAGACCGGUCCCCCUAGGAGAGACCGGAUGCAUCGCGCGCAGCAGCUCUGGCCGCGCUGGGAGAGCUCUCGGAGACCGGUCCCUAGUCGGGGAGACCGGUCCCCGAGCCCGAAAACUGCCCAGUCCAGGCA
rnacentral:lncRNA from 1 species